rnacentral:tRNA from 1 species
GGCUUAUUCGCUCAGUUAGUUAGAGCAUCGUGCUAAUAAUGCGAAGGUCGCAGGUUUGAGACUUGCAUGGGCCA